CGUCCCCGGCAAAAAUGGCGGUAUUCCGAUCCCUCCUCAGAGCCCUAAUUCAAAACCCUAAAAAAUCAUCAUCCAGAACCUUCCUCACCUCCACCAUCGCCGCCACUCUUCUCCUCCAGUCUCGCCCUCACAUCUCCAGAACCUUCCUCUCCAAUUGGAUCCAUGGGCCUCACUCCGGCCCCCUCUUCCUCUCCUCCCCUCCCUGGAACCUCUCCCAGUCCGCCACGCCGCUCCACCUCCGCCCGAACGCCGCCGUUUUGGAAAAGAUCGAAUCUUUGAACUUCCAUCUCCUCCGGAAGAAGACCACCCCGCCCGAAUUGGCCCCCGGGUCGGGUCCGCAAGUGUCGGAUCGUCAACGGUUGAGCGGCGCCGGCGGCGAUUUCGUCAAUUUGCCGAAUUCGAUCUCCAUGGCUCGGAUGGUUUCUGGUUCUGUUCUCGGAUGGAUGAUUGUGAAUGAGUGGUAUUGUGGUGCAAUGGUGGGGUUGGCUGUGUCUGGGGCAAGUGAUUGGCUGGAUGGAUAUGUGGCUAGGAGGAUGAAGAUGAAUUCUGUUGUUGGCUCAUACCUUGAUCCACUUGCCGAUAAGGUUCUUAUUGGGUGCGUUGCAUUGGCGAUGCUGCAUAAGGAUCUUCUUCACCCUGGUCUUGUUGGAAUCAUUGUGCUGCGAGAUGUUGGCCUCAUCAGUGGUGCAGUGUAUCAAAGAGCUAGUAGCUUGGGGUGGAAGUGGAAAAGUUGGUCAGACUUCUUCAACCUGGAUGGAACCCAUCCUCAGAAGGUCGAACCUCUCUUUAUUAGCAAGGUUAACACAGUGUUCCAGUUGAUUUUAGUAGUGGCGGCUCUCCUCCAACCAGAGUUUGGAACACUAGAAACUCAGUCAUAUGUUACAUCCUUGAGUUGGUUGGUGGCAUCAACAACAUUGGCUUCCACUGCAGCGUAUGGAGCACAACACUUGAGGAAAUCGGCAUCCAUUGCUUGGAAAUGCUGAUUGAGUAUCGCUAGAUUGUUCAGACUGCAACAACUUCCACCUGAGUUCGAACCAACAUAAUGACUUAUCGUUUUCCAUCUAGAUGUUUGAAGAGCUACAUGGUUUAUACCUUUGGGAUUCUUAUCACUACUUUCGACACCUUGAAGCAACAGACAGGAUUCACAUAGCGCGGAAGACAGUGACAUCCAGAGACGACUUAGCAAUCAAACAAAGGAUAAUACAUAGAUAUAAAGGGUUCUUAUGGGCCAGAUGAGAUGCUUGCAGGAAAACGUGUAAAUCUCUAGCUGAAACAGAUUGAAACGCAAUACGAGUCAAAGUCCAUUGCAACCAUUUGUGCUGCACGCAUGAAACAUCAACUAGAAACAUGAACGAGAACAUCCAUUCACCGAUCCACGCACUAGAAAUAGGAUAUCAGAGGAAACCGGAAGCAGCUCAGAUUCUUCAAACAAACAAGUGAAACUUUCUCUCUAAAUGAUCUCACAUACCUGGUUUUGUUUAACUUGUAGUAUGAACUGUAAAGUUCAAACUUUUAUUGAAGUCGACCUAUAAUAUGGUAUAUCAUUUUGAGUUUAAACUGAGAAUUCAGACUGCAAUUAUUUUAUGCCGAGGGUAAAUACCAACAUAAGACUGUUGCUUUUCCAUUAUGAAGUUUGAAGGACAAGCUAUCUGGUUUCUACUAUUUGGGAUUCAUGUCACUCUCUUUGGAGUACUUGGAAGCAACAUGUAAGAUUCACAUAGUGAAGAAGACAGUAACAUCGAUGGAGAUACGACUUAUUGUUAAAUGGGAACAAAAGAGAAAAUAGUAUAACUAACCGUGGAUAUAACUAUGAUGUCCAAGUUUGUAUAGUCGAGAAAUCUUG